rnacentral:rRNA from 1 species
AGUGAACGCUGGCGGCAGGCCUAACACAUGCAAGUCGAACGGUAGCACAAGAGAGCUUGCUCUCUGGGUGGCGAGUGGCGGACGGGUGAGGAAUGCAUCGGAAUCUGCCCAUUUGUGGGGGAUAACCUCGGGAAACCGGGACUAAUACCGCAUACGACCUACGGGUGAAAGCAGGGGAUCUUCGGACCUUGCGCAGAUGGAUGAGCCGAUGCCGGAUUAGCUAGUUGGAGGGGUAAAGGCCCACCAAGGCGACGAUCCGUAGCUGGUCUGAGAGGAUGAUCAGCCACACUGGGACUGAGACACGGCCCAGACUCCUACGGGAGGCAGCAGUGGGGAAUAUUGGACAAUGGGCGCAAGCCUGAUCCAGCCAUGCCGCGUGUGUGAAGAAGGCCUUCGGGUUGUAAAGCACUUUUGUUGGGAAAGAAAAGCAGCCGGUUAAUACCCGGUUGUCAUGACGGUACCCAAAGAAUAAGCACCGGCUAACUUCGUG